CCUACGGGUGACAGCAGUGAGGAAUAUUGGUCAAUGGGCGCGAGCCUGAACCAGCCAAGUAGCGUGAAGGAUGACUGCCCUACGGGUUGUAAACUUCUUUUAUAAAGGAAUAAAGUGAGGCAUGUGUGCCUUUUUGUAUGUACUUUACUAAUAAGGAUCGGCCAACUACGUGCCAGCAGCCGCGGUAAUACGGAGGAUUCGAGCGUUAUCCGGAUUUAUUGGGUUUAAAGGGAGCGUAGAUGGGUUGUUAAGUCAGUAGUGAAAGUUUGCGGCUCAACCGUAAAAUUGCACUUGAUACUGGGAGACUUGAGUACAGUUGAGGGAAGCGGAAUUCGUAGUGUAGCGGUGAAAUGCUUAGAUAUCACGAAGAACUCCGAUUGCGAAGGCAGCUUACUAGACUGCCACUGACAUUGAUGCUCGAAAGUGUGGGUAUCAAACAGGAUUAGAUACCCCGGUAGUC
rnacentral:rRNA from 1 species